AGUCCCAGGCCCCAGGGCGAAGACGGCCAGGGGAAAUGGGGCUCAGGGCUUGCUAAGCAAACGCAUCACUGGUGGUCUCCAGCGCCUGCGGAGUAUCUUUUGCUGCCUCUUAUGUAUUGUAGGCAGUGCCUGAUGGCUGAGAAGAAUCGCAGAGGACUAGAAAAGGUUUGAGUCUGAAAUUAUCUGGCACAGAGGAUUAGAGCUCAGAAAUAAGUGAUUGCGAAACAGUUCAACUUCCCUGUUAAUGACAACAACAACAACAGCAACACGCUUAUUAAUUCCUAGCUGGAGCAUCAAGCUUAUGAAGAUUUCCAAGUAAGACUUUAUUGUUGACCCUUGUUGAAGAGAACUCUACUUGGCUUCUUUCCUGGCUUUCCUAAAUUGUUCACAUACAAGAUAAACUACCGUCAUUCAGACUUACAGAAGUGAGAAGACAAGCUGAACCAAAUGUAAAAUGG
rnacentral:antisense_RNA from 1 species